AUUGAACGCUGGCGGCAUGCCUUACACAUGCAAGUCGAACGGCAGCGCGGACUUCGGUCUGGCGGCGAGUGGCGAACGGGUGAGUAAUACAUCGGAACGUACCCUGUUGUGGGGGAUAACUAGUCGAAAGAUUAGCUAAUACCGCAUACGACCUGAGGGUGAAAGUGGGGGACCGCAAGGCCUCACGCAGCAGGAGCGGCCGAUGUCUGAUUAGCUAGUUGGUGGGGUAAAGGCCCACCAAGGCGACGAGCAGUAGCUGGUCUGAGAGGACGAUCAGCCACACUGGGACUGGGACACGGCCCAGACUCCUACGGGAGGCAGCAGUGGGGAAUUUUGGACAAUGGGGGCAACCCUGAUCCAGCAAUGCCGCGUGUGUGAAGAAGGCCUUCGGGUUGUAAAGCACUUUUGUCCGGAAAGAAAUCGCGCUGGUUAAUACCUGGCGUGGAUGACGGUACCGGAAGAAUAAGCACCGGCUAACUACGUGCCAGCCGCCGCGGUAA
rnacentral:rRNA from 1 species